rnacentral:rRNA from 1 species
GGAAGGAUCAUUACCGAGUUGAUUCGAGCUCCGGCUCGACUCUCCCACCCAAUGUGUACCUACCUCUGUUGCUUUGGCGGGCCGCGGUCCUCCGCACCGGCGCCCUUCGGGGGGCUGGCCAGCGCCCGCCAGAGGACCAUAAAACUCCAGUCAGUGAACUUUGCAGUCUGAGAAACAAGUUAAUAAACUAAAACUUUCAACAACGGAUCUCUUGGUUCUGGCAUCGAUGAAGAACGCAGCGAAAUGCGAUAAGUAAUGUGAAUUGCAGAAUUCAGUGAAUCAUCGAAUCUUUGAACGCACAUUGCGCCCCUUGGUAUUCCGAGGGGCAUGCCUGUUCGAGCGUCAUUUCAACCCUCAAGCUCUGCUUGGUAUUGGGCUCCGUCCUCCACGGACGCGCCUUAAAGACCUCGGCGGUGGCGUCUUGCCUCAAGCGUAGUAGAAAACACCUCGCUUUGGAGCGCACGGCGUCGCCCGCCGGACGAACCUUUGAAUUAUUUCUCAAGGUUGACCUCGG